rnacentral:piRNA from 1 species
UAAUGGAACGAGCACAUCCUGCC